UACCAGCACCCCGAGUGGUCGGGACGUUUUAUUGGGCCUAAAGCAUCCGUAGCCGGUUCUACAAGUCUUCCGUUAAAUCCAGCUGCUUAACAGAUGGGCUGCGGAAGAUACUAUGGAGCUAGGAGGCGGGAGAGGCAAGCGGUACUCGAUGGGUAGGGGUAAAAUCCGUUGAUCCAUUGAAGACCACCAGUGGCGAAGGCGGCUUGCCAGAACGCGCUCGACGGUGAGGGAUGAAAGCUGGGGG
rnacentral:rRNA from 1 species